GUACGCUAUUCUAGAGUUUGAUCCUGGCUCAGGACGAACGCUGGCGGCGUGCCUAACACAUGCAAGUCGAACGGAGAUCUUAUGGAAUGCGGCUUCGGCCAAAUGAAGUUUGAUCUUAGUGGCGGACGGGUGAGUAACGCGUGAGCAACCUGCCUUUCAGAGGGGGACAACAGUUGGAAACGACUGCUAAUACCGCAUGAUAUACCGAAUGGGCAUCCAUUUGGUAUCAAAGAUUUAUCGCUGAAAGAUGGGCUCGCGUCCGAUUAGGUAGUUGGUGGGGUAACGGCCUACCAAGCCGACGAUCGGUAGCCGGACUGAGAGGUUGAACGGCCACAUUGGGACUGAGACACGGCCCAG
rnacentral:rRNA from 1 species